CCUACGGGAGGCUGCAGUGAGGAAUCUUGGUCAAUGGGCGCUAGCCUGAACCAGCCAAGUAGCGUGAAGGAUGACUGCCCUAUGGGUUGUAAACUUCUUUUAUAUGGGAAUAAAGUGCAGUAUGUAUACUGCUUUGCAUGUACCUUAUGAAUAAGGAUCGGCUAACUCCGUGCCAGCAGCCGCGGUAAUACGGAGGAUCCGAGCGUUAUCCGGAUUUAUUGGGUUUAAAGGGAGCGUAGGCGGGUUGUUAAGUCAGUUGUGAAAGUUUGCGGCUCAACCGUAAAAUUGCAGUUGAUACUGGCAGCCUUGAGUACAGUAGAGGUAGGCGGAAUUCGUUGUGUAGCGGUGAAAUGCUUAGAUAUCACGAAGAACUCCGAUUGCGAAGGCAGCCUGCUGGACUGUAACUGACGCUGAUGCUCGAAAGUGUGGGUAUCAAACAGGAGUAGAUACCCUAGUAGUC
rnacentral:rRNA from 1 species